rnacentral:rRNA from 1 species
CAUUACUAGUAUUAGAGGCACCGCCUGCCCAGUGACAUUAGUUAAACGGCCGCGGUAUCCUGACCGUGCAAAGGUAGCAUAAUCAUUUGUUCCUUAAUUAGGGACUUGUAUGAAUGGCCUCACGAGGGUUUAACUGUCUCUUACUUUUAAUCAGUGAAAUUGACCUUCCCGUGAAGAGGCGGGAAUACAAAAAUAAGACGAGAAGACCCUAUGGAGCUUAAAUUGUAUGUUCAACAAAAUUCUGGCCCUACCCGAUAGGAAAUAAUUAUAAUUUAACUGAACAACAAAUUUUGGUUGGGGUGACCUCGGAGCACAACAGAACCUCCGAGUGAUUUUACCAAGACUAACCCGUCAAGGUUACUUAACUUAUUGAUCCAAUCAUAUUGAUCAACGAAACAAGUUACCCUAGGGAUAACAGCGCAAUCCUAUUAGAGAGUUCGUAUCGACAAUAGGGUUUACGACCUCGAUGUUGGAUCAGGACACCCAAAUGGUGCAGCAGCUAUUAAAGGUUCGU